UGAAGAGACACUGCAACCGUAUGAAAGCAGACCACUAUUUAGUGACAUUUCGACGUUUCCCUGAGGAUUAACUGCUCCGUAAUUUACCAAGAACUAAAUCAAAAUGAGUGGAAGUGGAGAUGGAUUUCAAACUAACCGUAACGGCCAACAGGUUAACCCACAAUCAAUUGCAAGUGGAGAUCAGGAACCUGCUCAUCAACCAGCUAACCGAAGAGCUAACCGACGAGCUAACCG